UAUAUGUGGCCUUCUACUUCAAAAGUUAACAGUUUAUCAGAAAUUCCAAAUUCUAUCAGAGCACCCUUUAUACUGCGCAUGAUGCAACACGUCCUCACAGAAGAAAUAUUUCAGAAAGGCAUAAGGAGAUAUAUACAUCUCAACGUACAUUAUAUAGACUUUGUGGAACAUAUGAGACAAACUGCUUCAAGAAUAAAUCCAUUAGUAGAUAUAGGUAGUAUGGAUAAUUGGGCUUCGGAAAAGCAUUGUCCUAUUGUUAAAGUAGUACGAAAUUAUAGGAAUCCUAUAAGCCAAACAAAAGUAUGGAUACAAUAUAUCGACUUAU